rnacentral:rRNA from 1 species
GUGCCAGCAGCUGCGGUAAUACGAAGGGGCUAGCGUUGCUCGGAAUCACUGGGCGUAAAGGGUGCGUAGGCGGGUCUUUAAGUCAGGGGUGAAAUCCUGGAGCUCAACUCCAGAACUGCCUUUGAUACUGAGGAUCUUGAGUCCGGAAGAGGUGAGUGGAACUGCGAGUGUAGAGGUGAAAUUCGUAGAUAUUCGCAAGAACACCAGUGGCGAAGGCGCUCACUGGUCCGGUACUGACGCUGAGGCACGAAAGCGUGGGAGCAAAUAGGAUUAGAUACCCUGGUAGUCCACGCUGUAAACGAUGAAUGCCAGCCGUUGGGAG